UAGAUACCCUGGUAGUCCGCGCCGUAAACGAUGAAUGCUAGGUAUUGGGAGUCAAAUUUCAGUGCCGAAGUAAACACAUUAAGCAUUCCGCCUGGGGAGUACGGUGGCAACACUGAAACUCAAAGGAAUUGACGGGGACCCGCACAAGCAGCGGAGCAUGUGGUUUAAUUCGAUGCAACGCGAAGAACCUUACCGGGGCUUGACAUAUACUUGAAGUAUGUAGAGAUACAUAUGAUUCUUCGGAAACAGG
rnacentral:rRNA from 1 species